GUUUUACAUAUUUUCUAUGUCAGUUAGAACAGACAGUAUCUGUCAAAGCACCAGAAGGAACAAUCUUGGCUCAUAUAUCCAAAGCUACCCCAGCACCAGGGAAGACCUUGACUACCUUACCUGAAGAGACCGUUGUCCUGGUCACAACUUUGUUGGGAUAAGCCCCAAAUAAAUGGUCUUUCUUGGCGAGGGGGAUGCUGUAAGAGAACAAAAGAAAAGAAAGAAGAUGAGAAGGCGAACUAGGAAUACAAUAAAUGGAAAGGCUUUGGAGUGCUCAUGGAAGAAACAUAUGGAUUUGACUAUGCACACUCCUCAGCCAGACUUGGUGGAGCAGCAGUAAACAACAUUCAAAUACAAGGAACAAUUAUCUCUGAUAUCUCAGUCCUCAGGAAAUAAUAAAACCUACAGUAGAGCAUAUAAGACAACC